UGUUAGUGCUCCAGGUUCUAAAAGUUUCUUGUUGAUUUGCAGGUUGCCCUCAACAGAGCCCCAUACCUCUUGUGUGAAAAACCAUUUCACCUCUUACUGAUGUGGGUGAAGACAAGGCCUUCCUAAUUCAAGGCUUCCAGAUGUUUCUCACUGUGAGGUGUGAUGGAGCUGGGAAGUGAGGGACCUGGUAGUGCUGCCAGCAAAAGGUGAAGCUUGCAUGGAGUUUGAGAAACAAGAGGGAUGUGCCUGAGGAAAGGACUGUUGCUGUGUUUGCAGCUGUACUGGGUGAAGAGGCAACUCAAACUAGCAUACGAAGAAUUGAGAAGGUGGAAGAUUGCUGAUGAAUGGGUUACACUUGCAUGAACAGCAUUAAAAAAGCCAAUGUGUUUUUACCCCACUGGUAAUGUUUGCCUGAUAUUGAUUGGAGUGAAUAAAAAUCUGUAAACUCUA